AUGAUACAUGUCUAGCUUGGGCUUGUGCUUUUGUUGAGGCUGGAGAUGAGCGCUAUGCUCCAACGUGCUAAUGAUCGGAUGUUGCACUCUGAGGGCAAUGUCAUUCGGUUGUAUUGCUUGAGGUGGUGUGGCGGAAAGUUCUUAGCACGGGAGUUCGCAUCCUA